CAGUACAUGAGUUUCAGUCCCAAAGAUGCUCCUUCUCCCCAGGAGUCCAACCUUCAAUUCUGGAUGAAUACUUCUGCAGCAUAGAGAUUAAUAA